CCUUGGCACGGUCUGUUCGUAUUUUUAUCAGGACCCUGUUGAGAACCGGUAUCGGGGGAAACGCAUAGAGUAAGUUUCGGUUCCAUGGAAUCAUGAAUGCGUCUCCCAGGGAAUGUUUGCCCAGUCCCGCUCUGGAGCAAAAGUCGGGGCAUUUAGUGUUUUUCGCAGUUGCAAAAAGGUCUAUGGUUGGAUGACCCCAAAUGCGGAAUAUGUUGUAAAUGGUUCUCGUCUAUCUCCCAUUCAUGAUCCCAGGGAAAGCGUCUGCUUAGUUCGUCUGCUGUGGUGCUCAUCACUCCGGGAAGAUAGGCAGCUAAUAUCCGGAUGUUGUUCGAAAGGCACCAAUUCCAGAGCUUUGUAGCCUCCGUGCAAAGCCUAGAGAUAGGAAACAAUCGACAGUAAGUUGCAUGAAUCUGAGAGCUUCGUCAAACAUUGAGGCUUUGAGGAGACAAUCGUCGAGUACUACCCAGCGACACCUGGUGAAAACACCAUUGAAUGCAGGAGCAUGUCACAAUAUCAAAACAGUGACAAGAGUGGACUGCAGAAGAAGCUGUUAUUGGGAUACAGAGAUUUAAUUUAAAAGGUUUCAAAAUCAGCCCUCCACUGGAAUGAAUGGGGAGUUCACACAUCUUCCAGAAAUAACUGCAGGUUGCCUGCAGAUUUAGGAAGACAUCACCAUAUGAUACGAUAACAAAUUAGGGAUACGUAAGACCAGUAGAUUGCAGAGUCUAACACCUUUCACUGAAAAGCCCCCUACUAUUUAACUCAGGGUCUAUAAACUUGAGCUCUUCAGAUGAUUACAACUGCCAAAGGUUCAUAUUAAGAAAGAGGCAACCUUCAAAGAAGUAGGACUCAAACCAUUUAGGGCAUUACAUGUCAACACCACCAGCUAACGUCUCACAGAAAUCAAAUGAAAACCAAUGCAGACCAUGGGCAUAGCAAGCCUAGCAGCAGAUUCUGCACAAGCAGAACAUAUCUUAUGUCAGCUCAGUCUCAGUCAGCUAGCUCCUAUUCAAACCCCACUCUUGGCUAUACACUGGAAAAGUCACUCAUCUGCACCAUGUGUGUCCAGUGAAAUGGAGACUGCUCUGAAGGCACAUCUCAAUAUUAAUGAAAUCCUCUUUGCACAAAGGUCUAUCAGAAAGCUUAUGUACCACGUAAGUCCUAAUUAAGUCCUCAGAAUAAGUCUUGUAAUGGUCACACACACACACACAAUAGAAUAUAUUUUUCAAAUAAAUCAUUUUGGUCCACACCAACUUGCUUAUACGAGUAGACUUCAGACACUCAUAUACCUUGAUUAAGCAUUAGCAACAAACAUACCUG